rnacentral:tRNA from 1 species
GUGUAGCUAAGUGGCAGAGCACUUGCCUAAUAUGCAUAAGGCCCUGGGUUCAAUCCCCAGUGC